GAUGGGUGGCUCAAGACUUUCUCACAGUACUUUGUCUUUGAGUUUUGAAAUUACAGUGGAAGAAAAAAGCUUUUGUCUUUAAGUUUUUUGACACAUCUUAGUAGCAGCUUUCCCAAUUGCACUGUUAUUUCAGGUUAAAAAGACCUGUGUAAAUAAAUUUGACUCUUAACUGAAAUUAUCACUGAUACAUUAAAACUGAAGCUAUAAAAUCCCAUGUAAAAUCUUGGUAAAACAAAUAAAAAAGAAAACUGUUUUUAAGAGUUUGCUGACUUGGCCCUUUUUCUCACUUUGGCAAUAUUGUGACAUCUGUGACUCAUCCCACCAGCAUAACUAACCCCAGCACUUAAGAAAUGUCCUGCAAACUCAUGGGUAAACUAAGUAAAACAAUAACUAUACUUAACUAGGUAUUUGCUAUGAAAACUAGUAGACAUGCUUGCCACCGUAAAGCUGAAACUUAUGUGAAUCAGUUGACUUCUAUCCAUGUCUGCACACCAUUAACUUAGUCUUUGUUUGUUUUUUACAUUUAUGUUUUUCAUCUUUUUUUUUUUUUCUUGCAGGUGAUUAAAAUGAAGUCGAACCUCGAGAGAUUUCAAAUGACUAAACUUCAUCCUUUCAAGGAGAAAAUUCAGCGUCAGUAUUUGAGUACAAAUCUCACAGGGCACUUGGAGGAAAUGCUGCAGACUGCCUAUAGUAAGUUCCAGAUCUGGCAAACUCGUCGGAUGAUGAGGAAAACCUGAGCUCUGACAUUUUUUCAAAGAGAAACCAAGAAAGACAGUAAAGUGGUCGGACAAAUGACUUGUGAAGGUCCUCCGAACUGCUGUGAGCAGACCACAGACUAAAGCCUAAUGGAACACAGUUCACAAGGGCUUAAUGAGGAGGAUAUGGAGGGAUGCUGCUACAACCCCAAAUGUUCAACAAAGACUAACUGCAUUUCAGUCACAGAAAACUGUAAUUAGUUUCUUUCUCGUUUCUUUCUCGUUUCUUUCUCUUUUCUUUGUCUUUUCCUAGUGUUUGAGAGAUUGGUGCCUGUAAUGGUUAAAACAGGACUUUUAAAAGGGUUUAACAUGACCAAAAUGCAGAUGGAAAUGAAUAAAACUACAAAAACGGCUCUCAGGACAACCGUGUGAGAUGCAAGUGGAGGACUGCCAAUGUGUUUCAUCAGUGCACAGAACAGAAAGAAAUGUGCAUUGAUGUGCAAGAUACCCCUCUGAACUCUGGAUAGAUUUGUUGGAACAGUUGUCCGGAAAAUCUUAAUCAAAAGGGGACGUGAAUAUAGCAAUACUCUAAAGACAUUUCACACACGAGUGCAUUACAUGUGGCUCAAAUCACACUGUCACUGAUUUGUAAUGUCUGCACUGAAGACAGAAAUGUAACUCUGAAAUAAAGUGAGGCAUAAAGCUUUUGUUCAUCAUA